CGGCAUACUGAUCAGGCACUUAUGUGCCGACUACUGUUACUGUUACCGUUACUGUUAUCGAUUCGACACUUUGUGUGUCGAAUACUGUUACCGUUACUGUUAUAGAUUUAGCACUUUGUGUGUUGAAUACUGUUACUGUUACUGCUACUGCUACCAUUACUGAUUACUGAUUAGGUACUGUGUACCUUUAAGGCACAUUGUGUGGUACUGGUGUGUUGGUUGGAAUCCGUG
rnacentral:lncRNA from 1 species